ACCCUGAGUCAGAAAAACGUUUUCGCAUUUCCUAAAAGACGUUUUUUUCACUCAGGCAUA
rnacentral:pre_miRNA from 1 species